UUCCUGAUGUCUUCCAACAUGUGUAGAAUGGGUUUAUCUCUUGCUUGUAGGAUGAAGCUAUUAAAAGACUCACAAAUGUUGUUGUCUAUUAUGUCUGUCUUUGUAUAUGAAGAAAGUAGGGACUUACAAAAACUUCUAGGAUUUCUUGUGCAGAAAUCUUCAAAGGCUUGUGUUGAUUCCUUCUUCAAUUGUUCUAACUUGUCCUGAAAUUGAGAAGUUGUAUUACUCUUUGCACACUUCCAAAAUAAAGAUUUGAACUUCGAGC
rnacentral:lncRNA from 1 species